rnacentral:rRNA from 1 species
GACGAACGCUGGCGGCGUGCCUAACACAUGCAAGUCGAACGGAAAGGCCCGGCUUUUGUGCGGUGCUCGAUUGGCGCACGGGUGAGUAACACGUGAGUAACCUGUCCCUGUCUUUGUGGUAUCUUCAGGAAACUGGGGCUCUUAUCGCAUAGGAUCUCUUGCUCCAUGGUGGGGGUUGGUAAGUUUCGGUGUUUGGGGAUGUACUCGCGGCUUAUCCGCUUGUUGGUGAGGUAGUGGCUUACCAAGGCUUUGACGGGUAGCCGGCCUGGGCGGGCGGACGGCCACAUUAGGACUGAGAUACGGCCCAGACUCGAACGGGACGCAACGGUGGAGAGUAUUACACAGUAGGCGGGAGCCUGAUGCGACAACGCCGCGAGCGGGAUGCGGUCCUUGGAGUUGUGAACAAAUUUCGCCUGAGCCGAGGCGUGAGUGACGGUAAUGGGUAAAGAAGCACCGGCUAACUACGUG